rnacentral:rRNA from 1 species
CCUACGGGAGGCAGCAGUGGGGAAUAUUGCGCAAUGGGCGAAAGCCUGACGCAGCGACGCCGCGUGAGGGAUGAAGGUCUUCGGAUCGUAAACCUCUGUCAGCAGGGAAGUACGGUCACUGUGCUAAUCAGCAGUGAAUUGACGUUACCUGCAAAGGAAGCACCGGCUAACUCCGUGCCAGCAGCCGCGGUAAUACGGAGGGUGCGAGCGUUAAUCGGAAUUACUGGGCGUAAAGCGCUCGUAGGCGGUAUGUCAAGUCAAGGGUGAAAGCCCCGGGCUCAACGUGGGAACUGCAUUUGAAACUGGCAGACUUGAGUGUGUGAGAGGGUAGUGGAAUUCCAGGUGUAGGAGUGAAAUGCGUAGAUAUCUGGAGGAACAUCGGUGGCGAAGGCGACUAUCUGGCACAUGACUGACGCUGAGGAGCGAAAGCGUGGGUAGCAAACAGGAUUAGAUACCCUUGUAGUC